rnacentral:rRNA from 1 species
AGAGUUUGAUCAUGGCUCAGAUUGAACGCUGGCGGUAUGCUUAACACAUGCAAGCCAACGGUAACAGCAAGAGCUUGCUCUUGGCUGACGAGUGGCGGACGGGUGAGUAACGCGUGGGAAUCUGCCUAUUGGCGGGGGAUAGCCCGGAGAAAUCCGGAUUAAUACCGCAUACGCCCUACGGGGGAAAGCUGGGGAUCUUCGGACCUGGCACCAAUAGAUGAGCCCGCGUUAGAUUAGCUUGUUGGUGGGGUAAUGGCCUACCAAGGCAACGAUCUAUAGCUGGUCUGAGAGGACGAUCAGCCACACUGGGACUGAGACACGGCCCAGACUCCUACGGGAGGCAGCAGUGGGGAAUAUUGCACAAUGGGCGCAAGCCUGAUGCAGCAAUACCGCGUGUGUGAAGAAGGCCUGCGGGUUGUAAAGCACUUUCAAUUGUGAGGAAAAGCUUUUGGUUAAUAACCUUGAGUCUUGACGUUAGCAAUACAAGAAGCACCGGCUAACUCCGUGCCAGCAGCCGCGGUAAUACGGAGGGUGCAAGCGUUAAUCGGAAUUACUGGGCGUAAAGAGUACGUAGGUGGUUUAUUAAGUCAGAUGUGAAAGCCCCGGGCUUAACCUGGGAACUGCAUUUGAUACUGGUAAACUAGAGUAUGGUAGAGGGGGGUAGAAUUCAUAGUGUAGCGGUGAAAUGCGUAGAUAUUAUGAGGAAUACCAGUGGCGAAGGCGGCCCCCUGGACCAAUACUGACACUGAGGUACGAAAGCGUGGGUAGCGAACAGGAUUAGAUACCCUGGUAGUCCACGCCAUAAACGAUGUCAACUAGCCGUUGGGAGCUUGAGCUUUCAGUGGUGCAGCUAACGCGUGAAGUUGUCCGCCUGGGGAGUACGGCCGCAAGGCUAAAACUCAAAUGAAUUGACGGGGGCCCGCACAAGCGGUGGAGCAUGUGGUUUAAUUCGAUGCAACGCGAAGAACCUUACCUACCCUUGACAUCAUCAGAACUUGUUAGAGAUAACUCGGUGCCUUCGGGAACUGAAUGACAGGUGCUGCAUGGCUGUCGUCAGCUCGUGUCGUGAGAUGUUGGGUUAAGUCCCGCAACGAGCGCAACCCUUAUCCUUAGUUGCCAGCACAUUAUGGUGGGAACUCUAAGGAGACUGCCGGUGAUAAACCGGAGGAAGGUGGGGAUGAUGUCAAGUCAUCAUGGCCCUUAUGGGUAGGGCUACACACGUGCUACAAUGGCCAGUACAAAGGGCAGCAAACUCGCGAGAGUAAGCAAAUCCCAUAAAGCUGGUCGUAGUCCGGAUUGGAGUCUGCAACUCGACUCCAUGAAGUUGGAAUCGCUAGUAAUCGUGAAUCAGAAUGUCACGGUGAAUACGCUCCCGGGCCUUGUACACACCGCCCGUCACACCAUGGGAGUGGGCUGCAAAAGAAGUGGGUAGUUUAACCUUCGGGAGAACGCUCACCACUUUGUGGUUCAUGACUGGGGUGAAGUCGGAACAAGGUA